GAUGAACGCUGGCGGCGUGCCUAAUACAUGCAAGUCGAGCGAACAGACGAGGAGCUUGCUCCUUUGACGUUAGCGGCGGACGGGUGAGUAACACGUAGGUAACCUACCUAUAAGACUGGGAUAACUUCGGGAAACCGGAGCUAAUACCGGAUAAUAUUUCGAACCGCAUGGUUCGAUAGUGAAAGAUGGCUUUGCUAUCACUUAUAGAUGGACCUGCGCCGUAUUAGCUAGUUGGUAAGGUAACGGCUUACCAAGGCAACGAUACGUAGCCGACCUGAGAGGGUGAUCGGCCACACUGGAACUGAGACACGGUCCAGACUCCUACGGGAGGCAGCAGUAGGGAAUCUUCCGCAAAGGGCGAAAGCCUGACGGAGCAACGCCGCGUGAGUGAUGAAGGUCUUCGGAUCGUAAAACUCUGUUAUUAGGGAAGAACAAACGUGUAAGUAACUGUGCACGUCCUGACGGUACCUAAUCAGAAAGCCACGGCUAACUUCGUG
rnacentral:rRNA from 1 species